rnacentral:rRNA from 1 species
CCUACGGGUGGCUGCAGUGGGGAAUAUUGGGCAAUGGGCGCAAGCCUGACCCAGCAACGCCGCGUGAAGGAAGAAGGCUUUCGGGUUGUAAACUUCUUUUAUCAGGGACGAAGCAAGUGACGGUACCUGAUGAAUAAGCCACGGCUAACUACGUGCCAGCAGCCGCGGUAAUACGGAGGUGGCAAGCGUUAUCCGGAUUUACUGGGUGUAAAGGGUGUGUAGGCGGGAAAGCAAGUCAGAUGUGAAAACCCUGGGCUCAACCUGUGGACUGCAUUUGAAACUGGUUUUCUUGAGUACUGGAGAGGCAGACGGAAUUCCUAGUGUAGCGGUGAAAUGCGUAGAUAUUAGGAGGAACACCAGUGGCGAAGGCGGUCUGCUGGACAGCAACUGACGCUGAGGCGCGAAAGCGUGGGGAGCAAACAGGAUUAGAUACCCUUGUAGUC